rnacentral:rRNA from 1 species
GUAGGUCCCGAGCGUUGUCCGGAUUUUUUGGGCGUAAAGCGAGCGCAGGCGGUUUAAUAAGUCUGAAGUUAAAGGCAGUGGCUUAACCAUUGUUCGCUUUGGAAACUGUUAAACUUGAGUGCAGAAGGGGAGAGUGGAAUUCCAUGUGUAGCGGUGAAAUGCGUAGAUAUAUGGAGGAACACCGGUGGCGAAAGCGGCUCUCUGGUCUGUAACUGACGCUGAGGCUCGAAAGCGUGGGGAGCAAACAGGAUUAGAUACCCUGGUAGUCCACGCCGUAAACGAUGAGUGCUAGGUGUUAGGCCCUUUCCGGGGCUUAGUGCCGCAGCUAACGCAUUAAGCACUCCGCCUGGGGAGUACGACCGCAAGGUUG